rnacentral:rRNA from 1 species
UAGUCCACGCCGUAAACGUUGAUCACUAGGUGUGGCGGACUCAUUGACGUCUGCUGUGCCGGCGCUAACGCAUUAAGUGAUCCGCCUGGGGAGUACGGCCGCAAGGCUAAAACUCAAAGGAAUUGACGGGGCCCCGCACAAGCGGCGGAGCAUGCGGCUUAAUUCGAUGCGACCCGAAGAACCUUACCUGGGUUUGACAUUAUGGGAAAAACUGUAGAGAUACAGUGUGCGUAAGCGUCCAUAACAGGUGGUGCAUGGCUGUCGUCAGCUCGUGUCGUGAGAUGUUGGGUUAAGUCCCGCAACGAGCGCAACCCUCGUUCUAUGUCGCCAGCACGUAAUGGUGGGGACUCAUAGGAGACUGCCGGGGACAACUCGGAGGAAGGUGAGGACGACGUCAAGUCAGCAUGCCCCUUAUAUCCAGGGCUGCACGCAUGCUACAAUGGCCGGUACAACGGGCAGCGACCCCGCGAGGGUGAGCGAAUCCCUUAAAGCCGGUCUC